CCUUGACAGUCAUCUCAAGUGACUGACAUUUGCCAAGACAAGGAGAAUCACAUG
rnacentral:ncRNA from 1 species